rnacentral:rRNA from 1 species
GCGAAAAGAACCCCGGCGAGGGGAGUGAAAAAGAACCUGAAACCGUGUACGUACAAGCAGUGGGAGCACAGGUUUACCUGUGUGACUGCGUACCUUUUGUAUAAUGGGUCAGCGACUUAUAUUCUGUAGCAAGGUUAACCGCAUAGGGGAGCCGGAGGGAAACCGAGUCUUAAUUGGGCGUUAAGUUGCAGGGUAUAGACCCGAAACCCGGUGAUCUAGCCAUGGGCAGGUUGAAGGUUGGGUAACACUAACUGGAGGACCGAACCGACUAAUGUUGAAAAAUUAGCGGAUGACCUGUGGCUGGGGGUGAAAGGCCAAUCAAACCGGGAGAUAGCUGGUUCUCCCCGAAAGCUAUUUAGGUAGCGCCUCGUGAAUUCAUCUCCGGGGGUAGAGCACUGUUUCGGCUAGGGGGCCAUCCCGGCUUACCAACCCGAUGCAAACUGCGAAUACCGGAGAAUGUUAUCACGGGAGACACACGGCGGGUGCUAACGUCCGUCGUGAAGAGGGAAACAACCCAGACCGCCAGCUAAGGUCCCAAAGUCAUGGUUAAGUGGGAAACGAUGUGGGAAGGCCCAGACAGCCAGGAUGUUGGCUUAGAAGCAGCCAUCAUUUAAAGAAAGCGUAAUAGCUCACUGGUCGAGUCGGCCUGCGCGGAAGAUGUAACGGGGCUAAACCAU